GCCCGGGUGGCGGAAUUGGCAGACGCGCCAGCUUGAGGGGCUGGUAAGAGCAAUCUUGUGCUGGUUCGAAUCCAGUCCCGGGCA
rnacentral:tRNA from 1 species